rnacentral:lncRNA from 1 species
AUGGCUCCCACCUCACUCGGAAUAAAACUUGGAUUCUUCUGGAUUAUUCUUCCAGGCCCUGCAUCAUCUGGCCUUGCCUCUGACCUCAUCUCCCAUUACUCGCUUUAUUCUAGACUCACCAUUUGUUCCUAUGAACCCAACAUCCCAACGUCCUACCUAAGAGCCUUUGAACUUGCCUGGUUGAUGCUUCUCCUUCAAACUGCAUCGUUAAUGUUCUCGAGGGCGUCUGCCAGGACACUCAUGAGCACCAUUACGGCAGCACGGAAAGAGCAGAAAUUGAAGCAAUUUCUAAGCAAAAUGUUGAAGGUGUGGCUGGGCUCCUCUGACUGUGUAUAGUAGAAUUCGAAAGGAGGGAAAUGACUUAAAGAUGGAAUUAUUAAGCUAAAGGGAACUAGAAUGUAAAGAUCUGGCAAAAUCUCGGUCUCUCCAUACUGCAAAGAAUGAGAAAGUGUGUUUGGAUUUUUAUGGUUUAGGAUCUCACAUUUAGGUCUUCACAUCCAUUUUGAGUUUAUUUUUGUGUAUUGUGUUAAAAAGUGGUCCGGUCUCAUUUUUUUGCAUGUAGCUCUCCAGUUUUCCCAGCACCAUUUUUUAAAGAGACUGUCUUUUGUAUAUUGUUGCCUCCUUUGUUGUAGAUUAAGUGACCAUAUAAGCGUGGAUUUAUUUCUGGGAUCUCUAUUCUGUUCCGUUGAUCUAUGUGUCUGUUUUCUUGCCAGAACCACACUGUUUUGAUGACUACAGCUUUGUGGUAUAUCUUGAAACCUGGGAUUGUGAUGUCUCCAGCUUUGUUCUUCUUUCUCAAGGUUGCUCUGGCUGUCCGGGUCUUCUGUGGUUCCGUUCACAUUUUACUAUUACUGGCUGUAGUUCUGUGGAAAACGCUGUUGAUAUUUUGAUAAGGAUUACAUUGAAUCUGUAGAUUGCUUUGGGCCCUGUGGACAUUAUUUUUUAUAAUAAUAUUUUUCUAUUAUGUUAGUCACCAUACAGUACAUCCCUGGUUUUUGAUGUAAAGUUCGAUGAUUCAUUAGUUGCGUAUAACACCCAGUGCACCACGCAAUACGUGCCCUCCUUACUACCCAUCACCGGUCUAUCCCAUUCCCCCACCCCCCCUCCCCUCUGAAGCCCUCAGUUUGUUUCUCAAGUCCAUAGUCUCUCAUGCUUCAUUUUGUGGACAUUUUUUAGUAAACUUUAGGCCCCAUGUGGGGCUUGAACUCACGACCCCAAGAUCAAGAGUCACAUGCUCUACUGACUGAGCCAGCCAGGCACCCCCAUUUUAACAAUAUUACUCCUUCCAAUCCAUAAGCAUGGAAUAUCUUUCCAUUUUUUAAAAAAUUGUAUUUAUUUGAGAGAGAGAGCAAGAGAGCCGGGGGUGGAGCAGAGGGGGAGGCAGAGGGACAAGCAGACUCAGCACUGAGUGUGCAGAGCCCCAAGCAGGGCCCAGUCUCAUGAGCCUGAGAUCAGGACCUGAGCUGAAACCAAGAGUCAGAAGCUUAACUAACUGAGCCACCCAGGCACCCCCCCCUUUUUUUGGGGGAAUAUCUUUCCAUUUCGAGCAAGUGUGUUUGGAAGAGAACACUAAGGGUGUGGCCAAGCAAACAUUUGAUGUCAUCAGGGCUGCCACUCCCUUGAGGGCUGGUGAGGGGGGAAUGCCGAUCCGUGUCUGACGUCUGAGGGGCUGCCAGUGUGGGACCCGGGGGUGAGGUGUCUGAGGGGCUGCCAGCCGGGCACAGCCGCACAUCGCGGGCUCUGCUCCCUGCGCUCCUUGUGACACAAGAUGGACAAUCUCCAUCUUCUUCCUGCUCAACUGGGCUGGAAGGGCAGAGAAUAACAAGAGAGCUGUAAACCCCUGAGUAUUCUUUGGACAAGUGCAGACCCAGGUAAGCCGACUGGUGCUCUUUGUGGAGCAGGGGGCUGGAGUGGAAGGGCGCAGUCUUAUAACUGUGCUUCCCCUGGGGUCCUCAGCUAACAGUUAGCGACCACUUACCACAGGCAGGAGAAGGAGCCAAGCAUCUAAUCCUUCCAACUACUCCGUUGUCUCUAGGUAGGUAUGCAUCUAUUAUUAUACCCAUUUUACACACGGGGAAGCCGAGCCUCAGAGGGAGUAAGUGAUGCAUUCAAAGUCACACUAUUAAUAAGCCCUGAAUCUGGGUUUUGAACUCUGUCUGGCUUCAGAACGUGAGCUCUCCAAUGCCCUCUUACAUCCAGGGUGGGAUAUUAAAAAUAUUGGCCGACUAGCAUGGUAAGGACACUGGAUAAUGCAGACAGAGGCCUACCGUAAUCGCAUCACAUCAGUAGGUAAGGGUUGGUGUCACUUCUCCCACGCACCAGGCUCAGUUCUCAUUAUUUCUUCUCCCCAUGAGGAGUCUGCUGCCAUGUCAGAGGUCACAGGGCAAACCCAAGUUUGUUGGGGUGGGAGGGACCAAUUGGUACGAACUUGUACCUUGUGAAAGAAUCAUGGAGAAGACUGCUAGUGGCGCAGCCUAGUAGCCCUUCUUCUUUUGUAUAAGAAUCCCAGUUUGUUUCAGGGUGGCUAUGUGCUCAGCCAGAAGAAUACAUUCCCUGGCCUUCCCUGCAGCCCGGUAAGAGCUUCCGGCCAAUGAGAUGUAACGGAAAGUAUUGAGUGGAAUUUAGAAGACUUAGAGAAACUAAUGCAUAGCAAGUUCAAGGGCAUCUGCCAGACUCCAGAGCGCACACUGCCCCCCUCCCUACCCCCCAGCCCUGCCUCUAGUUAGUAAGUUCUUGAUGUUGCCUCACGGACAGCCUGUGGCCCACUAAGACCAUCAGGCAUUCUUCACAGGCACUGAAGCCAAGCUCCUUGUCCUCCCCUUCUACUGGAAUUCAACUUUUGAUUCUGUAUGUUGCACUUUACACUUACCCUUGUUAAAUCUCACCUACCUUAAAAAUCGGUGCCAAGGAAAGAUAAAGUAGAAUAAAGAGGGAUUAAAGUCAAAGAGCAGGGAGGAUUAUUAAAGUUUGGAGACAAAAAUGUUAUUUAUUUACACAUAAAUAUUAAACAGUAUUGGUGUAGGACAUAAUGUAUAUCUAUUCUAUUAUAGGUAAUAUAUAUAUAUGCACACGCAUGUAAGAGAAAAUAUAUCUAAGAGUUUUUCCCCUAAUUUGGUUCAAAAGUUUCUUACCUUUAUUAAGUAGUGUUCAGAGGAGGAAAUUAGUCUCAAAAAUGUUGCCUCUGGGGGGACCUGGGAGGUACAGUUGGUUAAGCAUCCGACUCUUGGUUUCAGCUCAGGUCAUGACCUCAGGGUCCCGGUAUCAAGCCCCACAUGGGGCUCCACGCUCAGCGUGAAAUCUGCUUGAGAUUCUCUCUUUCCCUCUGCCUCUGCCCCUCCCAUUUAUGCUGUUUCUCUCUAAGUAAAUAAAUAAAAUCUUUUUUUUUAAAGAUUUUAUUUAUUUAUUCAACAGAGACAGAGACAGCCAGCGAGAGAGGGAACACAAGUAGGGGGAGUGGGAGAGGAAGAAGCAGGCUCAUAGCAGAGGAGCCUGAUGUGGGGCUCGAUCCCGUAACGCCGGGAUCACGCCCUGAGGCGAAGGCAGACGCUUAACCACUGUGCCACCCAGACGCC